rnacentral:rRNA from 1 species
UGAGGGAAUAUUGGGUCAAUGGGCGCAGGCCUGAACCAGCCAAGUCGCGUGAGGGAAGACGGUCCUACGGAUUGUAAACCUCUUUUGUCGGGGAGUAACGUGCGGGACGCGUCCCGUAUUGAGAGUACCCGAAGAAAAAGCAUCGGCUAACUCCGUGCCAGCAGCCGCGGUAAUACGGAGGAUGCGAGCGUUAUCCGGAUUUAUUGGGUUUAAAGGGUGCGUAGGCGGCCUGUUAAGUCAGCGGUGAAAUAUCCUCGCUCAACGAGGAGACUGCCGUUGAUACUGGUGGGCUUGAAUGCGGAUGCCGUUGGAGGAAUGUGUGGUGUAGCGGUGAAAUGCAUAGAUAUCACACAGAACACCGAUUGCGAAGGCAUCUGACGAAUCCGCGAUUGACGCUGAUGCACGAAAGCGUGGGUAUCAAACAGGAUUAGAUACCCUGGUAGU